rnacentral:rRNA from 1 species
GACGAACGCUGGCGGCGUGCUUAACACAUGCAAGUCGAACGGACAGACAGAGAGCUUGCUCUCUUGAAGUUAGUGGCGAACGGGUGAGUAACGCGUAAUCAACCUGCCCUUCAGAGGGGGAUAACAACGGGAAACCGUUGCUAAUACCGCGUACGAUUCAUGAACGGCAUCGUUUAUGAAUGAAAGGUGGCCUCUAUGUAUAAGCUAUCGCUGAAGGAGGGGAUUGCGUCUGAUUAGCUAGUUGGAGGGGUAACGGCCCGCCAAGGCAAUGAUCAGUAGCCGGUCUGAGAGGAUGAACGGCCACAUUGGGACUGAGACACGGCCCAAACUCCUACGGGAGGUAGCAGUGGGGAAUUUUGCGCAAUGGGGGAAACCCUGACGCAGCAACGCCGCGUGAGUGAUGAAGGCCUUCGGGUCGUAAAGCUCUGUCAGAGGGGAAGAAGUGCAGUGGUGCUAAUAUCGCCAUUGUUUGACGGUACCCUCAAAGGAAGCACCGGCUAACUCCGUGCCAGCAGCCGCCGUAA